rnacentral:tRNA from 1 species
GGGCCUGUAUGUCAAAUUAGAAGAAAACCGCUUUCACAAAGUGGUAAUUGUGGGUUCAAAUCCCACCCAAUCCA